UUCUCUGUCAUAAUGGAGAUUCCAAGAAGCCUUGAGAUGUUUGUUGAAUGAGCUACAGUUCUCAGAGGUGAUAACAAGAGUUCCUGAAGAAAAUACAAAUGAAGAACAGAGAGAUGUGUGUUUGGACUGAUGUGUCAGUGACUGAGUUAGCCAUUGAGUUUCUAAAGCAAUGUUCCUUACAGUAAUUUGCAAUCAGUAAACAAGGAGAGGACUUAGUGUAUGGCCUCAAAUGGUGUGAAAACAUGACCUCCUCUAAGCAGCUUGGACUGAAGAAGAGGAACUAAAGCCAAAAUAUUGAAGACUUAAAAGAAUUUCCGAAAUGAAUAUCUCUCAGAAAAAAAAAGCAGCCUGUGGAGAGGACUCUGGGCUCCUUCCCAAUGCCCUGAAGGAGACUGAUUGUGAAUCUCAGAAAAGCCUUCGAGGGUCCACGGAAGAAGACAAGGAUCCUGUGCCCUGGAACACCUCCCUCACCUAGAUGGGAUUGUGCCUCUAAGCCUUCCCUUCUCACCUCAGGUUGACUUUGAUCCAAACCGCUCCCGACCAGCUUGGCCUUUGGUGACAGUGCUAGCAUUUCUCCAGGGAUGAUGUUCCCCCCAACCAUCUGGCAGGCGAGCUAUUAGGAAGCCAGCCUUCAGUCCUGAGGAUGUCAUCAGCGGAUCUUCACUGCUGUGCAGAUGAAAUGUGACCAGGGAAGGAGAGUAUUUGGAAACUGUAAACCUCUCUACAGAUACACAGGCUAUAAUUCAAAGGUGUCUUGGCAUCUCAUGCCAGAGGAAGUAUAAAUAAUGGGAGGAUCUUAAAUAUUUAGUGUCAGCUAUCUUGCUAUGCCUGUGGACACCAUCUAUUAGAAAGAAGAUAUCUAGAUGCAUGCUCUAAAAAAUGCAUAGUAAUGAAAGAGAAACUAACUAUAUCAAACUACAGUUACCAUAAUUUGUUUUGACAUGAGGUUUCAUUAGGUAGCCCAGGCUGGUCCUAAACUCUUGAUCCUCUUGCGUUAGCUUCCCAGGUGCUAGGAUAACAUGCCUGUGCCACAAAUGCCCUCAUUGUCAUAAUGUUUUCAACUGUGGCUAAGGCAUGGGGUUCUUUCCACACGUGUUUCAUUAUGGAACAUUUCAAACACAUCCAGAGUAAUCAGAACGGCAGAAUGAAAUCCAUGCACCAAUCAUGAUUCUGCCCCUCUGACUCUAUUAAAAUCCCAUACACUUUC